GACGAACGCUGGCGGCGUGCUUAACACAUGCAAGUCGAACGGAAAGGCCCUGCUUUUGUGGGGUGCUCGAGUGGCGAACGGGUGAGUAACACGUGAGUAACCUGCCCUUGACUUUGGGAUAACUUCAGGAAACUGGGGCAAAUACCGGAUAGGAGCUCCUGCUGCAUGGUGGGGGUUGGAAAGUUUCGGCGGUUGGGGAUGGACUCGCGGCUUCUCAGCUUGUUGGUGGGGUAGUGGCUUACCAAGGCUUUGACGGGUAGCCGGCCUGAGAGGGUGACCGGCCCCAUUGGGCCUGAGGUACCGCCCAGACUCCUUCGGGGGCCAGCAGUGGGGAUUAUUGCACGAUGGGCGGAAGCCUUAUGCAGCAACGCCGCGUGCGGGAUGACGGCCUUCGGGUUGUAAACCGCUUUCGCCUGUGACGAAGCGUGAGUGACGGUAAUGGGUAAAGAAGCACCGGCUAACUACGUG
rnacentral:rRNA from 1 species